rfam:Hordeum vulgare subsp. vulgare, WGS project CAJW01000000 data, contig: morex_contig_44716
UAUAUACUCCCUUCGUCCGGAAUUACUUGUUACAAAAAUGAUAUAAAUGAAUGUAUCUAGAACUAAAAUACAACUAGAUACAUCCAUUCCUACGACAAGUAUUUUCGGACGGAGAGAGUACCAA